ensembl:rRNA 5S_rRNA 5S ribosomal RNA
GUCUACGGCCAUACCACCCUGAACGCGCCCGAUCUCGUCUGAUCUCGGAAGCUAAGCAGGGUCGGGCCUGGUUAGUACUUGGAUGAGAAAUGAGACUUUGAAUGGUUAAAA